UAUAUAGUUUUUUUUUAAAUUAAACAAAAACUAAAUGUUUAAUUAUUUACUCGAUAAUAUAAAUCUAUGAAUCGAAAAGUUUAAUUUCUAAAAACUUUCUAAAUUUGUUAAAUGUUACAAUAUCUUUGAAUAUGACAAUAAACAAUAUUUUACUAAUCUUUAUAUAUAUAUACUUACGAUUUUAAUAAUGAAAUAAUAAUCCGAAAAUAUAUAUAUUGAAGAAAAUACAAAUAGAUGUGAAAGUCUGAAACAAUCUAUUCAAUAAAAAAAUAUACCGUAACUUUAUUAUGUUUUAAAAAUUGAUAGACACAUAUAUCUUAUAAUAUAUACCAAUUUAGAAUUAAAAACAAAAUAUUUAUAUAAAAAUAAAUGAAAACAAAAAUCUGCGCGGUUGCGCGGAUCGAGAUCUAGUAAAUGUUUUAAACUUUGUAUUUUGUAAUGUAAACAGACUAUAAAAGAACAUUUUCCCCUAAUCAAUACCUAUCUUCUUAGCUGCUAAAUAAUUUUACCAGAAAUUGACAUAUAUGUAUAGAUAUAUGGGAAUCUUAUUUUUCAAAUAUUGAAUUAUAAGCCCCCUCCAGACAACUUUUGUAUA
rnacentral:lncRNA from 1 species